rnacentral:rRNA from 1 species
UGGGGAAUAUUGGACAAUGGGGGCAACCCUGAUCCAGCCAUGCCGCGUGAGUGAAGAAGGCCUUAGGGUUGUAAAGCUCUUUCAGCGGUGAAGAUAAUGACGGUAACCGCAGAAGAAGCUCCGGCUAACUUCGUGCCAGCAGCCGCGGUAAUACGAAGGGGGCUAGCGUUGUUCGGAAUAACUGGGCGUAAAGCGCGCGUAGGCGGAUCAAAAAGUUAGGGGUGAAAUCCCGGGGCUUAACCCUGGAACUGCCCUUAAAACUGUUGAUCUAGAGUACGGGAGAGGUGAGUAGAAUUCCGAGUGUAGAGGUGAAAUUCGUAGAUAUUCGGAGGAAUACCGGUGGCGAAGGCGGCUCACUGGUCCGUGACUGACGCUGAGGUGCGAAAGUGUGGGUAGCAAACAGGAUUAGAUACCCCCGUAGUCC